AUUGAACGCUGGCGGCAGGCUUAACACAUGCAAGUCGAACGAGUGGCGGACGGGUGAGUAAUGCUUGGGAAUCUAGCUUGUGGAGGGGGAUGACUACGGGAAACUGUAGCUAAUACCGCGUACCAUAGGAUGAGCACCAGUGGGAUUAGGUAGUUGGUGUGGUAAAGGCUCACAAAGACGACGAUCUCUAGCUGGUCUGCGAGGAUGACCAGCCACACUGGGACUGAGACACGGCCGAGACUCCUCCGGGAGACAGCAGUGGGGAAUAUUGCGCGAUGGGGGCAACCUAACGCAUCCAGGCCGCGUGAAUGAAGAAGGCCUUCGGGGUGUAGAGUUCUUUCGGUAGCAAGGCGUUAACUACAGAAGAAGCACCGGCUAACUCCGUGCCAGCCGCCGCGGUAAUUC
rnacentral:rRNA from 1 species